rnacentral:lncRNA from 1 species
AGCAGGGAUUCUUAGCUAGAGGGCAUAGCCAUUGAAAGAGAUGAAAACGGAAUCUCCUGGAGUGUGUGUGAUUUCAAAAAGCUCCCCAGAAAAUUAGUCUGGCAGCAGGAUGGAGGAUGGCUUGGAGAGAAGAGCAAAAAGAAGCAGGGAGGGUUGUUGGGAAGACGGAAACAGGUCUGAGACAAACAAAGAAGUCUUGACAGCACUUGAGCAACUGAAGAAAAGGGAGGAAGGGUGAGUUUUGAAAAUAAUUUGAAUCAAAUAUCAAUAGGACAUAUUUGCUGUUGGAUUGCGAGAAUAGGGAGAAGAUAAAG